AGCUUUGUGCAGUGGCAGUAUUGUAGCCAAUAAGAUUUAUCUGAGGCGUGAUUAUUGCUAUUUUCUCUCGAAUCUCUGUUGUGUAGAAUUAUGCAGAACACUUCCCUAAGCAAAAAUUCUGAAGAAAAUAUGAGCAAAUUA